UCUGCAUGAUUCAGAAGCUAACGUGAGGACC
rnacentral:piRNA from 1 species